rnacentral:tRNA from 1 species
CAAUAAGUAGUUUAUUUAAAAUACUAAUUUUGGAGAUUAGUGAUGGGUUAAUUACUCUUUAUUGA